rnacentral:lncRNA from 1 species
ACUAUCGAGAUGCUCGUCUGGCAUUGCUUCCUGCAGUACACAUCAGACCUGGAAUGCAAUGACGGAGGAAAGAGAAAGGUGACAAAGCCCACGAGAUACGAACCUGAAUGCAACAGACAGCCACCCUGCCCACCAAGCACGUUUCCUGGGCCGUCUAUGGCUAGUCAUGAGGAAUCGCAAAGCGACGACAGUGAAGGUAAUGAAUUGAGUUUGUUCGAUAACAUGUAACAUUAAUUAUUCUUUUCCACAGAAGUGCCUGAACAGGUAGAGGCCGCUGCAGAG